rnacentral:rRNA from 1 species
AGUGAACGCUGGCGGUAGGCCUAACACAUGCAAGUCGAACGGCAGCACAGUAAGAGCUUGCGCUUACGGGUGGCGAGUGGCGGACGGGUGAGGAAUACAGCGGAAUCUACUUUUUCGUGGGGGAUAACGUCGGGAAACUUUGGCUAAUACCGCAUACGCCCUGCGGGUGAAAUCAGGGGUCUUUGGAACCUUUCGUUUUGGAAGGGGCCGAUGUCGGAUUAUCUAGUUGGCGGGGUAAGGGCCCACCAUGCCGACGAUGCGGAGCUGGUCGGAGAGGAUGAUGAGCCACACUGGAACGGAGACACGGUCCAGACUCCUACGGGAGGCAGCAGUGGGGAAUAUUAGACAAUGGGCGCAAGCCUGAUCCAGCCAUACCGCGUGGGUGAAGAAGGCCUUCGGGUUGUAAAGCCCUUUUGUUGGGAAAGAAAAGCAGCAGGUUAAUACCCCGCUGUUCUGACGGUACCCAAAGAAUAAGCACCGGCUAACUUCGUG